CGCUAUGAAGCUGCUUCAGCAUUAACCUUUUAAGUUAAAGAUAGAGAAUGUGUAUUUCUCCGUAGCGA
rnacentral:tRNA from 1 species